UGGUUAUACACCUGAGCUGGUCUGGGGGCUUGCUGCUGCUGCAGGGUGUCCUGCUGCUGCCUCCUUUCUCCUUUGUUGAUUUUCCUGCCUUUUUUUUUUUUUUUUUUUUUUUUAAUAUUGCCAGAUUAUCAAGUUGAAAUGAGCUUAAUGAGAAAAUUGGCAAGCAAUGGAGAGGACCACAUGGUUAAGGCACAAGAAUGGGAGGACAGUAGAAGGACACAGAACUGGAAUAACUCUGCACAGCUGCCCUCUGGCAGUUGUUUAAAUUAUAUGAAUCCUGUAAUCUGGCCUACACAUGAGCAUGGGUGUCAUCCCCACACAGCUGUGGAGGCCUCCUUGCAACAGCUCUUCCCUUGAAUGCUUGAGGGUACCCCCAACUUCUCUGAGGCAGGCUAUGGAGACAAGAUAUUCCUAUGGAUUAUUGCACUGACCUUUUUUAUUACGGUUGCCUGUGCUCUUUCCAGGGCCCGUUGCAAUCUUUCCUCCUGCAGCUUCUUCUGUUGCUUUAGCUUUUCCUCUCUGAACCUUUUGAAGGGAAUGAAAAAAGGAUUUAAACGUGCAUGGCUACACAGAGACAUGGCUACACAGAGUACCCUUUUGAUAUAUGUGUCGUCUAACAGUUUACGAGUGCAAAAUCAUUCACAGAACAUCAGGAAGAAGUAUUGCACCCUUUCUACUACAAAGGUGAAGAAAAAUACAGAGAAAGAAACUAAGCAGGAGCAGAAUGUCGCUGUUCUGGCUUUAAAUGCUCAAACUACUUUAUCUUCUGAUUAACCUGGUUCACCUUGGAACGGCCAGAUCCAGUCAGCUCUCCAUUUAUUCCAGCUCUCUUUGCAGUUUGCAAGGGGAACUUUCAGGCCAGAAGAGAAGGGAGGUAUUUUGAAAAAGGCAUCUCAGAACCCCUUGGCUGCUGUUCUGCUUUCCAGCCCAGGACCAUCCCUCCUGCUGCCGGCAGAUGGAGGACCAGGCCUGUCUCUGAAGCCUUGCCUUGUUAUGGAGAAGGUUUGUGAUUUGUGAUCUGCGGCCAAUGUGAUGAACUCAAGAAAAGAGGGAGGUGUUUAGCUUGACACUACCUCAGUAGCUGCACCAAGUUGAAUUUUGGGAAGUAAAAAGUGAUGCAAACAUCUGAGUGAGAAAACUUCAGUUUUGGACAUAAAACGGUAACGUUGCUAAUCUCAAAACCUCCUGUUGUGACAUGUCAUAUCAUCUUGUUGUGGGUUGGCAAGCUUUGAAGUGAUGGUGGGUUUUUGGAAAGCAGCGGAGGAAAGUUAUAUGAAGAUACUUAUAAUGAAGGUUUCUAAAAACAUGAAUGUUUAUGAAUAUAUAAACAUACAUCUACAAUUAGUGGCCACAAUAACACCUCAACCCCAUAAUGAAUGGUUAGAAGGUGAGAGAAAUUAAUAACAUCAAUAAAUGACA